GGGAAUUGUUCACAAUGGGCGCAAGCCUGAUGACGCAACGCCGCGUGGGGGAUGACGGCCUUCGGGUUGUAAACCUCUUUUCUCAGGGAAGAUGAUGACGGUACCUGAGGAAUAAGCCACGGCUAACUACGUGCCAGCAGCCGCGGUAAUACGUAGGUGGCAAGCGUUGUCCGGAUUUACUGGGCGUAAAGAGCGCGCAGGCGGUCGUUCAAGUCGCGUGUGAAAGCCCCCGGCUCAACUGGGGAGGGUCACGCGAUACUGAUCGACUCGAAGGCAGGAGAGGGUAGUGGAAUUCCCGGUGUAGUGGUGAAAUGCGUAGAUAUCGGGAGGAACACCAGUGGCGAAGGCGACUACCUGGCCUGUUCUUGACGCUGAGGCGCGAAAGCUAGGGGAGCAAA
rnacentral:rRNA from 1 species